rnacentral:rRNA from 1 species
AUUGAACGCUGGCGGCAGGCUUAACACAUGCAAGUCGAGCGGAGAUGAGGUGCUUGCACCUUAUCUUAGCGGCGGACGGGUGAGUAAUGCUUAGGAAUCUGCCUAUUAGUGGGGGACAACAUUCCGAAAGGAAUGCUAAUACCGCAUACGUCCUACGGGAGAAAGCAGGGGAUCUUCGGACCUUGCGCUAAUAGAUGAGCCUAAGUCGGAUUAGCUAGUUGGUGGGGUAAAGGCCUACCAAGGCGACGAUCUGUAGCGGGUCUGAGAGGAUGAUCCGCCACAGUGGGACUGAGACACGGCCCAGACGCCUACGGGAGGCAGCAGUGGGGAAUAGUGGACAAUGGGGGGAACCCUGAUCCAGCCAUGCCGCGUGUGUGAAGAAGGCCUUAUGGUUGUAAAGCACUUUAAGCGAGGAGGAGGCUACUGAGACUAAUACUCUUGGAUAGUGGACGUUACUCGCAGAAUAAGCACCGGCUAACUCUGUGCCAGCCGCCGCGGUAAAAC